rnacentral:lncRNA from 1 species
CCCAGAAGGAAAUAGCCCCAGGAGAUAUUAAAUACCGCCUGGAGCCCCUUUCCAAGGUUCCUCCCCAGACGCAGCCCCCAAGCUUCUUCAGCCAGUACUGCAAGCCUCAGUGGCUCCCCUUCAGUACCACCUACAGAGAAUGUUACAAGCCCUGCAGGAAGGAGCCAGUGACUUACCAAGGGAAGAAGUCCUCCCAUUCAGAUGCCUAAUCUACCUCCUCCCAAACCCUUGGUAAAAAGAGUCAAGGAUAAGUGCCCCUCCAGCACACUCAGGGUCUUCAAAGCCAAGUUACAAACGGAAACUGCCAGCAAGCAAUUCUCCCAAGUACACUAUGGAGACUCUCAUCACAGAGGCCAUGAGAAGCUGCAGGGCGUGGGUUCACAGGCACCGACUGAGGACCAAACUACCACCAGGACCUCCUACAUGCCCUUGUUUUCUGAAAGGUUGAAGCUGUGUAAGCCCAAGGUCAACAGCAUCAAAUGGGAGCCAAACACAACGUCUCUACUGAACAAAGGAAAACGUUCAGGCCAGUCCAGCUGCCUGAAAGCCGGCUCCAAAAGUACUUAUGACAACAGCAGGACUCAAAAUCCCCAAAUGUAAUAAUCAUCUGGGGAAAGAAACUGCCCAAAUAAUCUAUGCAAAAAUGCACAGUUCAGGACACACGUCUCCUCACCAACACAAAUUUAGAACGGAGGUCCCACGAAAACCACCUCACCGCGUGGAUUCAGCUUUCCCACUGGGAUUUCCCAGCCACACCCUAACCCUAAUCCAGCUCUUUGAAACUACCUGAGCAAGGGUGAGUAACCUGGUUAGAAAGGAACAAUGCACUGUGUGUCCUAGAAGGUCAGUGUGUUGCCGGAUAGCUGAGGGAAAAAGAACUCAGGGUGUUUCCCUCUAACUAACAAAUGAACGGCAAAGCACUGAGACUUUUCUCAAGUCAGUACCAUCAAUUAAUUACAUUCUAUUUGAGCUACAGUGUCUGCUCACUGCUGCUUUUUUUCCCCUUUACAUUCUUUGAGAUUAUCAUUCACAUACCAUAAAAUUCACCCUUUUGAGGUGUAAA